rnacentral:rRNA from 1 species
CACCCUUUGGGGUGUGACUGCGUACCUUUUGUAUAAUGGGUCAGCGACUUAUAUUCUGUAGCAAGGUUAACCGAAUAGGGGAGCCGGAGGGAAACCGAGUCUUAACCGGGCGUUAAGUUGCAGGGUAUAGACCCGAAACCCGGUGAUCUAGCCAUGGGCAGGUUGAAGGUUGGGUAACACUAACUGGAGGACCGAACCGACUAAUGUUGAAAAAUUAGCGGAUGACCUGUGGCUGGGGGUGAAAGGCCAAUCAAACCGGGAGAUAGCUGGUUCUCCCCGAAAGCUAUUUAGGUAGCGCCUCGUGAAUUCAUCUCCGGGGGUAGAGCACUGUUUCGGCUAGGGGGCCAUCCCGGCUUACCAACCCGAUGCAAACUGCGAAUACCGGAGAAUGUUAUCACGGGAGACACACGGCGGGUGCUAACGUCCGUCGUGAAGAGGGAAACAACCCAGACCGCCAGCUAAGGUCCCAAAGUCAUGGUUAAGUGGGAAACGAUGUGGGAAGGCCCAGACAGCCAGGAUGUUGGCUUAGAAGCAGCCAUCAUUUAAAGAAAGCGUAAUAGCUCACUGGUCGAGUCGGCCUGCGCGGAAGAUGUAACGGGGCUAAACCAUGCACCGAAGCUGCGGCAGCGACGCUGAUGCGUUGUUGGGUAGGGGAGCGUUCUGUAAGCCUGCGAAGGUGUGUCGUGAGGCAUGCUGGAGGUAUCAGAAGUGCGAAUGCUGACAUAAGUAACGAUAAAGCGGGUGAAAAGCCCGCUCGCCGGAAGACCAAGGGUUCCUGUCCAACGUUAAUCGGGGCAGGGUGAGUCGACCCCUAAGGCGAGGCCGAAAGGCGUAGUCGAUGGGAAACGGGUUAAUAUUCCCGUACUUGGUGUUACUGCGAAGGGGGGACGGAGAAGGCUAUGUUGGCCGGGCGACGGUUGUCCCGGUUUAAGCGUGUAGGUGUGUGUUCCAGGUAAAUCCGGUUCACUUUAACACUGAGGCGUGAUGACGAGGCACUACGGUGCUGAAGCAACAAAUGCCCUGCUUCCAGGAAAAGCCUCUAAGCAUCAGGUAACAUCAAAUCGUACCCCAAACCGACACAGGUGGUCAGGUAGAGAAUACCAAGGCGCUUGAGAGAACUCGGGUGAAGGAACUAGGCAAAAUGGUGCCGUAACUUCGGGAGAAGGCACGCUGACACGUAGGUGAAGUGAUUUACUCAUGGAGCUGAAGUCAGUCGAAGAUACCAGCUGGCUGCAACUGUUUAUUAAAAACACAGCACUGUGCAAACACGAAAGUGGACGUAUACGGUGUGACGCCUGCCCGGUGCCGGAAGGUUAAUUGAUGGGGUCAGCGCAAGCGAAGCUCCUGAUCGAAGCCCCGGUAAACGGCGGCCGUAACUAUAACGGUCCUAAGGUAGCGAAAUUCCUUGUCGGGUAAGUUCCGACCUGCACGAAUGGCGUAAUGAUGGCCAGGCUGUCUCCACCCGAGACUCAGUGAAAUUGAACUCGCUGUGAAGAUGCAGUGUACCCGCGGCAAGACGGAAAGACCCCGUGAACCUUUACUAUAGCUUGACACUGAACAUUGAGCCUUGAUGUGUAGGAUAGGUGGGAGGCUUUGAAGUGUGGACGCCAGUCUGCAUGGAGCCGGCCUUGAAAUACCACCCUU